rnacentral:rRNA from 1 species
AACGAACGCUGGCGGCAGGCUUAACACAUGCAAGUCGAACGCCCCGCAAGGGGAGUGGCAGACGGGUGAGUAACGCGUGGGAACGUGCCCUAAGGUACGGAACAACUCCGGGAAACUGGAGCUAAUACCGUAUGUGACCGAGAGGUGAAAGAUUUAUCGCCUUAGGAUCGGCCCGCGUAAGAUUAGCUAGUUGGUGGGGUAAUGGCCUACCAAGGCGACGAUCUGUAGCUGUUCUGAGAGGAAGAUCAGCCACACUGGGACUGAGACACGGCCCAGACUCCUACGGGAGGCAGCAGUGGGGAAUCUUGGACAAUGGGCGCAAGCUUGAUCCAGCCAUGCCGCGUGAGUGAUGAAGGCCUUAGGGUUGUAAAACUCUUUCGCCGAGGACGAUAAUGACGGUACUCGGAGAAGAAGCUCCGGCUAACUUCGUGCCAGCAGCCGCCGUAAUAC